AUUGAACGCUGGCGGCAGGCCUAACACAUGCAAGUCGAGCGGAUGAAGGGAGCUUGCUCCUGGAUUCAGCGGCGGACGGGUGAGUAAUGCCUAGGAAUCUGCUUGGUAGUGGGGGAUAACGUCCGGAAACGGGCGCUAAUACUGCAUACGUCCUGAGGGAGAAAGUGGGGGAUCUUUGGACCUCACGCUAUCAGAUGAGCCUAGGUCGGAUUAGCUAGUUGGUGGGGUAAAGGCCUACUAAGGCGACGAUCCGUAACUGGUCUGAGAGGAUGAUCAGUCACACUGGAACUGGAACACGGUCCAGGCUCCUACGGGAGGCAGCAGUGGGGAAUAUUGGACAAUGGGCGAAAGCCUGAUCCAGCCAUGCCGCGUGUGUGAAGGAGGUCUUCGGAUUGUAAAGCACUUUAAGUUGGGAGGAAGGGCAGUAAGUUAAUACCUUGCUGUUUUGACGUUACCAACAAAAUAAGCACCGGCUAACUUCGUG
rnacentral:rRNA from 1 species